rnacentral:rRNA from 1 species
CCUACGGGAGGCUGCAGUGGGGAAUAUUGGACAAUGGGGGGAACCCUGAUCCAGCCAUGCCGCGUGUGUGAAGAAGGCCCUCGGGUUGUAAAGCACUUUCAGUGAGGAAGAACGCCUGGUGGUUAAUACCCAUCAGGAAAGACAUCACUCACAGAAGAAGCACCGGCUAACUCCGUGCCAGCAGCCGCGGUAAUACGGAGGGUGCGAGCGUUAAUCGGAAUUACUGGGCGUAAAGCGCGCGUAGGUGGCUUGAUAAGCCGGUUGUGAAAGCCCCGGGCUCAACCUGGGAACGGCAUCCGGAACUGUCAAGCUAGAGUGCAGGAGAGGAAGGUAGAAUUCCCGGUGUAGCGGUGAAAUGCGUAGAGAUCGGGAGGAAUACCAGUGGCGAAGGCGGCCUUCUGGACUGACACUGACACUGAGGUGCGAAAGCGUGGGUAGCAAACAGGAUUAGAUAUCCCAGUAGUC